UCCCCGGUGGUCCAGUGGUUAAGACUGUGCACUCCCAAUGCAGGGGGCCUGGGUUCAAUCCCUGGUCAGGGAA
rnacentral:tRNA from 1 species